rnacentral:rRNA from 1 species
AUGAAUUUGGGGCAGGUCUCGAACCUGUCCGGGAAGACCACGCAGAUGAAUCCAGGCAGCAGUCACGGGAUGCCACAGCAACAGCAGCAGCGGCAGGUUGCUUUGGGGCACCCCGGUGUGGAUCCUGAGUUUGUAAACUUGCGCAAAGCUAUGCUUCAGAGGAUAUUAGAGCUUAUUAUUGCAAAGAGGAAUGCACCUCCUGGAAUGAUCCCAAACAUGACGAACCUUGCAAAGCGGCUUGAAGUGGCUCUGUUCAUGGCGCAUCCGACCAAGGCUGAUUACUAUAAGAUGUUUAAGGAACCAAUUAAAGAACAUUUGGCGCAUGCAUUUCGGACCAUUUCAGCCCAAGGUCAACAACGUCAGCAAAUGUUGGGCCAGGUAGCACCUUCCUCCAACCAUGUCACAAUGAUUCCAACACCUGGUAUGCCUCAGUGUGGAAAUGGGAAUUCUGCAAUGCCCUAUGUGAUGGACACCACAACCACAACUGAUAACUCAAGUGCAGGUUCCAUGUAUAAUGGGUAUCAGAACCCAUCCACCAAUACCCCACUAAAUUCUACCACCAGUAGCCUCUCAAUGGUGACGACUUCAGAGAGCAUGCAACGACACGCAAAUCAUAUGAUCCCCACUCCAGGAUUUAGCAACCAACAGACUGUGCUUGCUAAUUCUUCUGAGUACUCAAGUCAAGUUGGAUGCUUUAAUGUGGAAUCGAAUGUUGUGCCGCAAAUGCAGCAGCAACAGAAGCCAUUUGGUAACAAUCAAGGUCGCUAUCCUGUUCACCACCUUGAGGGCCAUGCUGGUUCUGGAGUAUAUCCAAGCACGCUGAAUGGUGGAGUGGACACACAGAGGCCGAGAAUGCAGCUAAUAAACAGAAAUAUGUCAUCAGAAGCAUUUGCUAACCUAUCUUCUUAUGGCAGUUCGUGCAAUAGUCUGUCUCAACAACAGUUUAAUGCUCACGCUCCACAGAGAACACCAACAUCAGUUGAUACGGCUGUUUCUAGAGGUCUCUAUGACACUAAUUCGUCCAUCUUGACAGCUAGAAGUAAUCAAGAUAUUAGUGAUGUGGAUAUUAUGUCCAAUUCAAGAAUGAAUUCUGAGUUUCUUGCAAGUCAGUCAACCACAAAAUCAGUUCAACAACCACCCCGAUAUCACAAUAACGCUGAGGGCUUUAGUACAUCACAAUUAUCACAUGAACAACCACUCCGCCAACCACAUCAGUUGCAGCCUAAUCAUCCUGACUCCCAAUUAGUGCAAAAUCAUUAUGUUUUCAGUCCCCGGCAGCAAAAUUCACAACAAAAUCAGGGUCAAGAAUUUUUUGGUCAAGAGAAAAGAGCACAAGAUAAAGGACACCAGCUUGGUUGUACCGUGACUUCAUUUGAUUCUAAAUUGUCGAAGCCCUCAGUAAUACAAAAUGAACAGGACUCUAAAAUCAUGAAAAAUCAACUUAAUCAACUGCGGUGGUUGUUAAUGUUGAAGCAUGCAGAAGGUUGUCAAGCUCCUAAAGGAAGUUGUAAAUCUCAAUACUGUGUUCCUGUACAGGAGAUUGUGAAGCAUUUUAGGAAUUGUCAAAUGAAAAUCUGUUCAUAUCGGUACUGCAGUUCGUCAAAGAUCCUGUCUUCUCACUAUAAGAAUUGCAUUGAGAAGGACUGUUCUCUUUGCAGCAAGGUGAAGGAAAGAUUGCGCCGCUCUUCCGAACAGGCACACAAGCACAAUCGUGACGAGACAAUAGUAAUUACUAAGCAGAAUAUGGUUCAGAAAAUCACCAAUGGAGCAUUUGAUGAAAAAAUGGACAUUGACUUGGUGGUAGUUGAAACCAUUGAUGAGCAACAAUCGGUACCAAAGCGUGCAAAAUUGCAGCAUAUGUCUCCCAGUGCAUCAAAGAAUGGAAUUCUUCAUGUCCCUGUUCCUGGAACAAGCCCACUAGUUUUGCACAAGCCAAAAAACAAGACAGUGCCAAAACAGGAGGUCAGUGCUAGGGUUGAUGAAAAAAUAGGCGUUAUGCGAACUAAUGUGAUUCUUGGUGCUUUGAAUGUGAUAGACUCUAAUGUCAAGCAAGAAAACUUAUUGCUCGACAGUGAUAUGAAGGAGAAUGUUAUUGAUCUUAAAAACGUAACAAAUGGUCGUAAAGAUGUCAUGGUGUCCAAAUCGGGGAAGCCAAAGAUAAAAGGUGUUUCACUCAUGGAGCUGUUCACUCCAGAACAAAUUAAAGACCACACUAACAGUCUAAAGCAUUGGGUUGGUCAGAGCAAAGCUAAAGCUGGAAAGCAUCAAGUGAUUGAACACUCCGAAAAUGAUAACAUAUGCCAGCUUUGCAAAGUAGAGAAGCUGUAUUUUGAGCCUCCACCAAUUUAUUGUUCUCCUUGUGGUGCUCGGAUAAAACGAAAUGCAUCAUACUAUACUGCUGCUGCUACUGAGACUUGCCACAAUUUCUGUAUCCUGUGUUACAAUGAGGCUCGCAGUUCCACAAUUCAGGUGGAAGGUAAUCAAUUUCCUAAGGCUAAACUUCAAAAAUUGAGGAACGAUGAUGAAACGGAAGAAGGGUGGGUUAUGUGUGACAAAUGUGAACGCUGGCAGCAUCAGAUUUGUGCCCUUUUUAAUUUCAAAAGGGAUGAUUCUAAAGAUGCAGAAUAUACUUGCCCUAAGUGCUAUGUUCAGGAGAUAGAACAUGGUUUACGUAUACCUUUGCCACAAAGUGCUGUUCUUGGGGCUAAAGAUCUGCCAAGGACCGUGCUUAGCGAUCAUAUAGAAGAACGACUCUUUAAACGGCUCAGAGAAGAGAGACAUGAACGGGCCAUUCGCGAUGGGAAAAACUUUGAUGAGGUUUCUGGAGCCGAUGGACUUGUGGUCAGAGUUGUUUCAUCAGUGGACAAGAAAUUAGAAGUUAAACCACGUUUUUUUGAGAUUUUUCAAGAAGACAAGUACCCAGCAGAAUUCCCUUACAAAUCCAAGGCUAUUGUCUUAUUUCAGAAAAUAGAAGGUGUUGAAGUGUGCCUCUUUAGCAUGUAUGUUCAAGAAUUUGGUGCAGAAUGUGCAGACCCAAACCAACGUCGGGUUUAUCUGUCAUAUCUUGAUUCUGUCAAAUUCUUUAGACCUGACGUAAAAACAGUGUCUGGGGAGGCCUUGCGGACAUAUGUCUAUCAUGAAAUUCUGAUCGGUUAUCUUGAGUAUUGUAAGCAGCGCGGAUUCACUAGCUGUUACAUAUGGGCUUGCCCACCUUUGAAGGGUGAAGAUUACAUUCUAUAUUGCCAUCCAGAGAUUCAGAAGACACCAAAAUCUGAUAAGCUGCGCGAAUGGUACUUAUCUAUGCUUCGAAAAGCUGUCAAGGAGCGUAUUGUUGUCGAGUUGACAAAUCUCUAUGAUCACUUUUUUAUCACUACAAAAGAAUGCAAGGCCAAAGUAACUGCAGCUCGCUUGCCAUAUUUUGAUGGAGAUUAUUGGCCAGGAGCUGCAGAAGAUAUGAUCAACCAACUUUUCCUAGAAGAAGAUGAUAGAAAGUUGCAGAAGAAGGGGAAACUAAAGAAGACUAUCACGAAAAGAGCUUUGAGAGCUGCUGGCCAGACUGAUCUAAGUGGGAAUGCUUCAAAGGAUGCUAUCCUGAUGCAAAAGCUUGGAGAAACCAUUUACCCAAUGAAGGAAGAUUUCAUCAUGGUCCAUUUGCAGCAUUCUUGCAGUCACUGCUCUACUCUUAUGGUAGCUGGAAAACGCUGGGUCUGCCACCAGUGUAAAAGUUUUUAUAUUUGUGACAGUUGUUAUGAUUCAGAGCAACGGCUUGAAGAAAAGGAGAGGCACCCGAGUAAUAGUAGAGAUUUGCAUGUGCUGCACCCAGUUGACAUUGUUGGGGUGCCUGAAGAUACAAAGGACAGAGAUGAUGUCUUGGAGUGUGAGUUUUUCGAUACCAGACAGGCAUUCCUGAGUCUUUGUCAAGGAAAUCACUAUCAAUAUGACACACUUCGCCGUGCAAAACACUCCUCAAUGAUGGUGUUAUACCACCUUCAUAAUCCAACUGCACCAGCCUUUGUUACCACAUGCAAUAUCUGCAAUAACGAUAUUGAAGCUGGUCAAGGGUGGCGAUGUGAAGAAUGCCCAGACUUUGAUGUGUGCGCAGGAUGUUACAAUAAAGACGGAGGUGCCAACCAUCGUCACAAGUUAACAAAUCACCCAUGUGUAGACCGUAAUGCUCAAAAUAAAGAAGCUCGCCAGAUGCGCAUUCAGCAGGCACGGCGAAUGCUUGACCUUUUGGUCCAUGCGCAUAAAUGUCGCACCGCUGGUUGCCAGUAUCCUGAUUGCCGAAGACUUAAGGGACUCUUUGGUCAUGCAACGAGGUGCCAGAAACGGGCAGCCGGAGGCUGUUCACUUUGCCAAAGGACGUGGUCUCUGCUUCAACUCCACGCCCGAACUUGCAAAGAAUCAAAGUGUACCAUACCAAGAUGCAGGGAUCUCAAAGCCCAUCUAAGGUGGACGCAGCAGCAGUCCGAAUCAAGGAGGAGGGCCGCCGUGAACGAGAUGAUGAGGCAGAGAGCCGCAGAAGUUGCCAGGAGUUAG